GUCCUUUUGUUUAUUUAUUUAAGGUUUGGCCUGCCCAAUGAUUAAUUUUGAAUGGCCGCAGUAUUUUAACUGUGCUAAGGUAGCAUAAUCAAUUGUCUUUUAAUUGAGGGCUUGUAUGAAUGGCCGGACAAAAUACUUUCUUUCUUUUAAUUAGUUAAUGAAUUUAAUUUUUGAGUGAAAAAGCUUAAAUUUAUUUAAGGGACGAGAAGACCCUAUAGAGCUUUAUAUUUAUAUUUAUUUUUAUAAUUUGUUUAUUUUUGUAAAAAUUUUUUGUGUAUUAUGUUGGGGUGACAGUAAAAUUUAAAUAACUUUUAUUUUUAAUUUUUCAUUAAUUUAUGUUAGUUUGAUCCAUUAUUAUUGAUUAUAAGAUUAAGUUACCUUAGGGAUAACAGCGUAAUUCAUUUGGAGAGUUCAUAUUGAUGAAUGAGUUUGCGACCUCGAUGUUGGAUUAAAAUUAGAUUUAGGUGCAGAAGUUUAUUGUCUAGGUCUGUUCGACCUUUAAAAUUUU
rnacentral:rRNA from 1 species